GACGAACGCUGGCGGCGUGCUUAACACAUGCAAGUCGAACGAAGUGGCGAACGGGUGAGUAACGCGUAAUCAACUUGCCAUUCAGAGGGGGACAACAGUUGGAAACGACUGCUAAUACCGCAAAAUGAAGGAGGGGAUUGCGUCUGAUUAGCUAGUGGGGGGGGUAACGGCCGACCAAGGCGAUGAUCAGUAGCCGGUCUGGGGGGGUGAACUGCCACAUUGGGACUGGGACACGGCCCAGACUCCUACGGGGGGCAGCAGGGGGGGAACUUCCGCAAUGGACGGAAGUCUGACGGAGCAACGCCGCGUGGGUGGUGACGGCCUUCGGGUUGCUAAGCUCUGGUAAUCGGGGCGCGGUACCUGAAUAGAAAGCCACGGCUAACUACGUGCCAGCAGCCGCGGUAAUUC
rnacentral:rRNA from 1 species